rnacentral:lncRNA from 1 species
CCUUAGAUUCUCAAUUUCUUCUUCUUGCUCUCUCCUUUUCAGCAGCGCGUCCUAGAGCGCCCGAUGAAGUCGCUGGCUCUCGGUCUCCACCUCUCGAUGCCUCUUUCUCAGGACCUCAGAUUCUGCCUCCGCGUCCGUGACGGCCUGCUGCUCGUAUGCCAGCUGGAUCUUCAAUUGCUGCAGCUCAGCCGUCCUUUCCCCAAGGGUGACAGAAAGCCCUUCGAUGGUUCCUCUUAGGGACUGGAG